AUAAUGUUUAGGCUAAAUUUUUGAUAAUUAUACAAUUUUAUAUCAUUUUUAUUAGUUUGAUACAAAUUGAUUUAAUAUAUAUCAAAUCUAUACUAAAUAUUAGUAAAACAUAGUAAAAUCUAUAAUAUUUAAUAAAAUUUAUUUUUAAUUAUAAGUUAGAUUUAAAAAAUUUCUUACUGCACAUGGUGCAGGAAAAAACCUAGUUAGAUAUAAAUUUUAAGUAGAAAAUUAAAUAGGAUUAAAAUUAAUUUCUCAAUAAAUUUCAGUAAUUUUUGUUGUUUACCCAAUCUUAUCAACUAUCAAUGUUCGUUUCAUUGUAAGAUUGGCUUGACAAAGCAAUGUAUCUGCAAUUAAAUGUGUGAGGUGGAUGAUAACGGUUACCAUGUGAAAUAAGAUUGGUUUAGUUGACUAAGCUAUCAAAACGGUUUUCAUCUUGAAGAAAUAGGUUGGAUAAGAAAUAAGAUGUCGUCUAACAACCAAUAAUUGUAUUUCAUAUAGUUAUCAAAGUGUUGCUUACUUUUUUUUACACCAAUUGCUUAUAUUAAAAUUAAAGGCCCAAUUAAUGGACUAAGUCAGUUACAACUGGAGAGAUCAUCGACGGCAAACUGAUAAAUGAAUAUAACUAAGAUAUGACGAAAGAUAGAUGUGGCUAUGGAGAGAAGAGAUCCAUAGAGAAGUUUCACUUGUAAUCCUAAAACCCAAGUUCGAAGAAACGCAAAGAAGUCGAGAUCGACGUUGAAGAACCCAACUAAUAGGUUUAGAGAGUAAGAAGUCUGUGAAACUCCGUAAAGGAUAACAGCUCUGGUGAGAGGUUCACAGUGACGACUAUGUAAAUAAUCGUUGAUGCUUGAGACAGUGUAAUGUAAUGGAGACUCAGCGGUGACGUAGUAAUGAGCAGAUCUGACGAGUUCACACUCUUGCACAGUAGUUCAUGCGACGAGGAAAGGGGUGGGGGAUCAUAGAGCGGACUCUAUAAAGAACCGUCGAUGCUUGAGACGGCAUAUUGUGAUGGAAACGCAGCGGUGAUGCAGUAGCGAGAAUAUCUGGUGAGUCCACACUCUUACAUAGAACUACUGGCGACAAGGAAAGGGAUGGGAGGAUCGUGAGGCCGGCUCUUUGAAGAACCGUCGAUGUUUGAGAUGGCAUAGUGUGAUGGAGACGCAGUGGUGGCAUAGAAGCGAACAAAUUUGGCGAAUCUACACUCUUGCACAGUAGAUCAUGAAGACGUUACGACAGUUGAAUAGAAAAAUGUUGAUUCAGAGCAGAGGGGUCGUCGCUUUAAACGAAAGCUUCACAAUGGAAGAUUCAGCGAACUAACCAAAGUCCAAAAGCUGGUUGUAGACCUGUAGAGUCUCGGCAGGGAAUGACGGAGAUGAGGUGACAUAAAUGGUAUUGGUGGUGCAUAGAUGACAAAGUGUGAUGAUGGCAGCAGCGUUGAAGGAGAUGCGACAAUGGGGUUGGAGGGGAACAAAGGAUUGGAACUAGAUAACAGUCGUGGACCAGACACAAAAGAUUCACCGGAGAUAGUAGAAGCAAUCUCCAGCUGGAGAGUAAGAACCAUCACGACUGUAUGGGGCGUGGUAGUGGUGGCUCAUUCCGGCCGACGAAAGUACCAACACAGAGCAGGUGGAGGUGCGUCAAAAACAGAGAAUCAAGCAGAUCUGUUAGGCACAUGCUUGAGCUGAGCAGUUUCAGAGUGUCCACUCGACCUAAGCAGUGCUGUGGCGGUGGCGAGGAGAGCAGAUGGAGAGACAGUGAGGCAAGAGGAAGCAGUGACAGUAACGAAGCGAACACGAGGCGUCAUGAUGGUAAGACGAACAAGAGAAGAGACUGUGGUGAAACAGGUGGAAGGAGCAACAAUGGCGAAUGGAGAAAAUGGAGGGUUAGUGACAGUGCCGAAGCUCAAUCGGAUUUUAGUGAUAUAUGGAUCUUGAAAUAUUAUAUUCAUUUGAUUGAAAAUGUUUUGAAUAUAAUACAAAUUUUAUUAAUUGUUGAAUUUUUCAAAUUCCUGAACAUUAUAUUAACAUUUUCUAUUUUUUUUAUUCCAGCAAUGUUAACUCCUCUCAACUUUUUUUCAGUGAGAUAUGUUCUCAAGAAGAAAAAACUGAAUGGAUUAAACUCCUUCAAUAGUAUCGAAACCCGAGAAUUGUUCUCAAACAAGAGGGUAAGAACAAAAGAAAGGGUAGGCCAAGUUGGAUUGUGAAUCCUAGCAAGUCUGAUCCUUCUUUUAAGUUUAAUCCUUAUUUGGAAUAUCUAAAAAGGAAGAAGACUUUUGAAAUAUCGUAUUCGGGUAUCUAUACUAUACUAAAAGCAAUAUAUCCUCAAAGGAGAGGGUGUCCACGUCCCCAAAUAAAAUCGACCAAUAAAAAUGAGUUCUGAUGCCACGUCAUUUUGUUUCUGCUGGGCCUAAAAUUCACAAUCCAAAUUAAGGGAAAAAACCCAUCCGAAUAAGAGAAAAAAAAAGAAACCCUGCUUCUUCGUCGACUGUCGAUCUCUUCCCCCUCUUUCAUCUUCUCCUGUAAUUCUCUAUUCAUCUUCCCACUUCGGUUUCUCCUCUUCGUUUCAUCCAUAAUCAAUCAUGGAUUUAUGAUUUUGCUUCUUAUUUAUACCAAAAUCCCCUUUCAUUUUCGCAACCCUAAUCAAAAAUCCCUUUUCCUUAUCAAAGAACCAUGUCGAUGAAGCCAAACGGCAAAUCAAUCAUCUCCUCCUCCGAUGACAACAGUGAUAAGAAAAACGGAUCUAAUCCACUUCUCUCCGCCGCGGUGAAAGCAAAGGGCAAGGCGCAUGUUUCCUCCGACGACAACCGCGAAGUUAUGUUUUUCAACGAAAUAUCCCUGGGCCCUCAAGGAGACGAUCUUGUUCUUCGUUGAAUGUUCUUUGUAUCAUGUUACUAAUCAUUUUUUUUUAAUUUAAUUGUCGCUUAUGCUCGAACUUCAAUUGUUUGCAGGGAACUGUAAUUCAAGGUUUUGUCCCACCGGGAAGGAUCAAAAAAUUCCUCCCGCAUAUGAGGCAAGGCUCUCUAUACACUCUCGCCAGCUUCUACGGAUCUAGAAACAAAGAUGGAGAAGGUCAUGCAUCCUGAUGUGAGAUCAAGUUUGAGUUGGAGGCUAAGGGAAGAAAUAUUUACAGGAGAAGAGAUAAUUUAGAGUAAUUGAAAGAUAAGAAACUAAAGACUCAGCUUGCUUCACGAGAAAAGUUCUAUGGCAAAUUUCUACUCUCUAACUUAUCAACAUCAAAGUUUCAACUAGAAUUCAAGCAUCGGCAUGAAGAAGUCAAAGUUGAUUUAGCAGAAGCAUGCAUGAUCCCAUGUUUCUCUCAGUCAAACUCAUUCCCAAGUGUGGAGUUUCUGUUCCUGAUGACAAGAGACUUUUCAAGUUAGUAAGCAUGUCUGGUGCUCUUGAGGAACUGUACUAUCGUGGAAAGACAUCCUUUCCCAAAAAAUAAUUAUUCAGGCUGGUUCUUAACAAGAAGAUAUUAGACAUACAAUUGCACGAGCUGGUAUCUCGACAUGGCGCUGUAACUAUUUAUUACCUUUACUUAUGUCAGUUUUAAUUUCUUUUUUAAUUGGGAAAAGUUGGAUUUUUAUCUCAUCCUGAACCAACCUGACUAGCAGGGGAAGAAUGUCAAUCAACAGAACCCAAAUUUUCUAUGAUCACCGGAUGAUGCUGAAAAGUUUUCAUUGUGUGGCUGACUAUUAGUUAAAUUUUUUUACAAGUUUGGAACUAAUAUAUAUUCUGAUUGGAACAUUUUUUUAGAGAAGCUAGACAAAGGGUUCUUAGUCAAAUAUUGUUUUCCCACUCUCUCGAGAGAAGUAAGUCCCAUCUAAAAUGCUUUGAAGUCUAUCUCUUUUUUUCCUUUGUUCUUUAGUGAGUGUUGUCAAGAUGAUGUUAAUCUUCCAGAUUGUGGUAAUGUAUUUUUUACUAUAGUUGCUCAUGUUUCCCUGUUGAAACCUUUAAAGAGAUAUAUGCCCAGAGGAUGUUAUUCUGAGGGCUGCUCAAAUGGAACAGAUAGUUGAGAAGGUAAGAAUCCAGUCACCUUUUCAAGUCAUAGUUCACCAUUCUUUACAUAUCAUCAAGUUUCUACCCAGUUUCUAUGGUGCUCCACACAUCUGAGAGACAUUGCAAUACUCUGUUUGUUUUCACAGGUUUGUGACGAGCGGCUUAAUACUGGAGUUUCAAAUAUUUCCGUUUAUUUUUACGAGCAGUUUCAUUUUUUCAAAGGUUGGAAGUUGACAAAUACUGUUUGUUUUACUUCAAGAAGUUAAACCACAAAAUGUCACGCUUAAAUUAUAAACAGAGAUUCUGACCCAAAAGAAAAACUAUAAGCAUGGGUAACUGUUAUGAAAAUAUAUGAUAACUUCAUAAGAAACAAAAUAAAGUUUUAAGUGGGUCCUAAGUGGUCGCUUCUCCUGCUUCCGCGAUAGGCCGGCCCUGGGUACAGUAGCAGAGAGAAUGUUAAAGAUGAUAUAUCAUAUAUCAUUCAUCUGUCAUUGUGCUAACUAAGCACAUGUGGGAGGAUUAGUCUUCAUGGGAUCAUCAAAGAAUUUUUUGUUUCAUUUUUCGCUUUUACAAUGAAGUUCCGAAGGAGAGAUAUUGGAUAUUAUCAUUGUAUUAAGAUUUUAUAAACUUGUGUUACAUAUAUAUUUCUUUGUAUUUAAAAGGAAAAAAACUAGGUGCUCACAUGAAUAAACUAACCUGUCAUAGCAGUUAUAAGCUGAUGAACUAUCACCUUUCUGUGGUCAAUUAAGAAAAGAAUAAAAAAGGGCAUGCAAAAGAAAAGAUAUUCAGAAAAUUGAAGUUGCGACCUGUAGUACCUAAAAUGAGUUCUACAUCACACCAAAUAAGUAAAGAAUGAAUGUGAAGGAAAUAAUUAAAAAGAAAAAAAAAACAAAGCAAAGAUUAAACAGAAAUUGAACCUAAUAACUAAAAAAACCAAAAUUCACAAACUAACAAAAUUCCAUUCUAUAUCCUCUUUCCGCAUCCCAUCUCUUUCUACUGUCUCUCUAAAAACUAAUUUUGUUUUUGGUUAUUUAAUAAAUAACCCCAAGUUUAAACUAUAUUUCCCGUAUUUAGAGUUUUAGUCAUAUUAGUUAUUUUUGGAUUAAAAAGUGAAUAAAUUUUAUAGUAACACAAACUGUUAAAUGAGACAAAUAUAGAUUUCAUAUUUUAACUACAAAUAUAUUUUAAAAUAAUAGACCUGAAAAACUAAAUGUCUAAAGUUAGGCUCAACAUAUAUUUUUUUAUAUAAUUUUCAGUUUUAAAUAUAUAAGAUAUGUACAUGUGUUUAUGAAAUUAGAUUUGGUUUUAGUUCAACUAUUUAUAAAUUAAUUUCUGGUUUUGAGAUUUUUUUAGGUAAAUUAUGAUAGUUAUACAAGAUUAUUUGAGUUUUCAGAUAACAUACCAUGUAAUUCAAGGUUUUCAUAUAGAAAUGUGGGUAAACUACAUUCCCCAUAUUUAGUGUGGUAGUCGUAUUAAUGUAUGGAUUCAAAAUUGAAAAUCUGUUUUAUAAUAACACAAAAUGUGUGUAAAUGGAAAAUAUUAAAAUUUAUAUUUCAAUUUAAAUCAAACAAAAACACAAAAGACAGUAAAAUGAGACACAACAGGUUAAAAUAGAUAUGUGGAACAUUUUAAAAAUUUAAUACGAAUUCCAAAUAAAACAAUUAACAUAUUGGGACAAAAAAAUGAAAAUUUUAAAACACUAAAAGCAUAUAAUCCGCGCGUAGCGCGGACACGGACCUAGUUAUGUUAUAGAAGUAAAUGUUACCACUACUGAUUUUAUUUCUUGGGUAUUGGAUAUCGGUUCUCGUGCUCAUAUUUGUACAAAUAUGAAUAGUCUAAGCAACAAUAGAAUUUUGGAGAAAUGACAAGUGGACCUACGCAUGGGAAACGGAGCAAGAGUUGCUGCAUUACCGUGGGAACAUUUCAUUUGUCUUUACUUUAAGCUUGGUAUUAGAACUUAAGAAUUGCUACUAUGUAUCUACUAUAAGUACGAAUAUUAUUUUCAUUCCUUGUCUGAAUUUGGAAGGAUUUCAAUUUUCGAUUAAAAAAUGUAUUGUUCUUUUGAUCGUAAUGAUAUUUUUAUGGUAGCGGCUCAUUAGAGAAUAGACUUUAUAUUCUAGACCAAAGCAUGUCUGUCUAUAACAUUAAUUAGUACCACAAGAUUCAAGUAUAAUGACAUGAAUCAAAUCUUUUGGCAUUGUCGUUUGGGUUACAUAAAUGAGAAGCCCAUUCAAAAGCUUCAUAAUGAUGGACUUUUGAACUCAUUUGAUUAUGAAUCAUAUGACAAAUGUGAAACUUGUUCAUUGGGUAAAAUGACUAAGGCUCCUUUUACUGGACAUAGUGAAAGAGCUAAAGACUUGUUUGAACUUGUACAUUCUGAAGUAUGUUGAUCAACGAGUAUAAUUGCUAGAGGAAACUAUCAGUCCUUCAGUAGAUAUGGUUAUUUUUAUCCAAUGAUAUAUAAGUUUGAAUCUUUUGAAAAGUUGAAAGAAUUUCAGAGUAAAGUAUAAAUCAGCUUGACAAGAAAAUAAAAGCUCUUCGAUCUGAUCGAGGUGGAAGAUAUUUGAUUCAAGCGUUUAAUGAUCAUCUGAGAGCAUGUGGAAUUGGUUCAUAACUCACUCCUCCAAGAAUACCACAAUUGUGUGUGUAUACGAAAGAAGGAACCAGACUUUAUUAGAUAUAGUUCAAUUUAUUAUAAGUCAUACAGAUCUUCCAUUAUCCUUUUGGGGAUACGCUCUAUAAUGUAUGCAUUUAUGCUAAAUAGAUGUCUAUCAAAAUAAGUUGAGAAGACACCAUAUGAGAUUUAAACAAGAAAAGUUCCAAAUUUGUCUUUUCUCAAAAUUUGGAGUUCUGAUGCUUAUGUCAAACGUAUGUUUACUGAUAAGCUUGGACCCAAAUCUGAUAAAUACUACUUCCUUGGUUAUCCAAAAGAAACCAUGUUAUUACUUUUACAACUCCACCGAGACAAAGUGUUUGUUUCUCGAAGUAGCGUUUUCUAUAAAGAGAAUUUCUUUCCAAGAAGAACAGUGGAAGUAAAGUACAACUCUAAGAAAUUCAAAAAACGCAGGAGGUUGUUUUCAUCUUCUCAAGAAGAUAACCAAUUAGAUUUAUAUAAGAGUCGUAGAAUCUUCACAUGUGAAACCGGAGGUAUGUAGGUCCAAAAGGACACCUCACAAACCUGAUAUAUAUGGGGUUUGAGUGACAGAUAUACAGAAAGUUUAGGGUACUGGAUCCGGUCGGAUCGAUGAUUUUAGUAUCCGGAUAUGUGCCUUCUGGAUAUCCAGGUCACGGAUAUUCGUCUACAUAUUGUAUUACGCGUGAGUAUCGGGAUCCGGAUUUGGACCCGUAUAGAAAUAAAAAAUAUUUUUAAAAUAUUAAAUUCUAAAAAUAAUACAUAAAUUAAAUAUCUAUACAAAAUUUAUAUUUUAUAUAUAUAUAUAUAUAUGAUUACAAAACUAAAUAUAAUACUACAAGACUAAUUUAUGUAUAAAUAUUAAUAUAUCAACUACAAUUAUUAAUAAAUAAUACAUAAAUUAAAUAUCUAUACAAAAUUUAUAUUAUAUAUAUAUAUGAUUACAAAACUAAAUAUAAUACUACAAGACUAAUUUAUGUAUAAAUAUUAAUAUAUCAACUACAAUUAUUAAUAAAAUUUAAUAUAUUUAAAAAAUUCUGAUUCUGAUCAGAAUAUCAAGAUUUAAAAAUUGAUUCAGAUCCGUUUUCGGCGGAUCUGACAUUUUACUAUCCAAAUUUGGAUCCAGUCACCCUUGAUACCCUAUUUUCAGAGCGGAUCUCGGAUUGGAUUCGGGUCCUAGAUAGGCCCUACUAUUUUAUGCUUUAUACUAGCGUGAAAAUAACAAACUCAAAGGCUCUCACCUUGUUGCGUCCAAGGCGCCACGAGACUCAAUCAAAAGCGCACCAUGGCGAGGGCCUUGCCAAAUUACCAUCGCCAUAAAGGUUAAUGCCGUUAUGACAGUCGCCAUGGUGCGUCUUGUGCCUUGACGCUCAACUUUUAAAGAAUGCAUUACACUAGGGGUGGCUGUCGGAUAGCUGUUAGGAUUCGGGUUGGAUAUUUCGGAUGUUUGGGUAUUUUGGUAUAGAAGUAUAAAACCCGUUCGGAUAUUUCUAUACUUCGGGUUGGUUUUGGAUAUUUUUAGCUCGGGUUCAGGUAUUUCGGAUAUAACCGAAAAGCCAAAGCAUUUGAUAAAAAUUUCGAACUACCGAUAAUUUUUUUUAAAAACCACAUAAUUAUUGCAAAAAAAAAUACUGUUUCUUCUCUUGCUUUUGUUACGUAACACGACCAAGAGUAACAAGGAAAGCUCCAUGUAUGGAAACUAUCCCUCUGUAUGAAGAACGACAAGAUGGUUCAAGGUGUCUCUGGUUGUUACAGUGACGUUUAUGGUGGUUAUUGUCGAUGGCGGUAACAACUAAUGUCUCCGAGAAACCUUUCAUAGAUCAUGAGAAUAACAAUAUUUUAGGAAAUAAAAUCUUGUAUGGAGAGAAGAUGAGAAAUGGGAGAUGCAGAUGGUGCCUUAAUAUCUCACAUUUAAGAAAGAGAUACAUAUUUAUAUAUAUGUGGACACGUUUAGGUUAGGGAAAAUAGUGAUUUAGUAUUGAUUUUAUAUAUAUUUUUUUUUUUGACAGCAAAGAAUUUACAGACUCAUGUUGACUCUGUAAACCAAUUUGGUAACUCUGCAUCCAUGUGAACGACAAAGGACGAUUGUUUCCUAGCACUGCGUGCUAAGCUAUCCGCCCAAAGGUUCGCCGUCCGAGGAACAUGAACGAUGUCUGAGUUGAGGAAACUUCUUUUGAGAAGUUUUAUAUCUUCCAAAUAGCUUUCGAAUGCUGGCCAUUCUUCUGGUUCCGAAACCAUCUUCACCAAUUGGGAACAAUCCGUCGCAAACGUGACCUGUGACUGUCUUAAGUUCUUCAUACAUUCCAUUGCCCAAAUCAAGGCUUCUACCUCCGAAUGGAGGGGUGAGAGACAUGCCCUUACAUUCCUUGCCCCUAACAGACCAUCAAACCCCUGUAAAGUGCUAUACCAACCUUGCCCUAAAAAAGAAUCCUUAUCUUUCCAUGAACCAUCUAUGAAACACCAUCGACCUUGUGUUUACAUAAAUUGGAUGAAAGAUUAAUUAAGGGAAAAUUGUCAUUACAUAAAUUGGAUGAAAGAUAUAGAUUUGGGUUAAAGCAUACAUAUCUUCGGUUGACUUCAGAUAUUAUUUCGGGUUUCGGAUAUACCUGAUAGGGUUCGGGUAUCCAAACUUGUUCAAUACAAAACCCGUUCGAGUAUUUUGCUACUUCGAUUCGGAUUCUGGUUCAGUUUUUCGGAUCGAGUUCGGAUUCGAAUUUGGAUGUCAGAUAAAAUGCCCAGCCCUACAUUGCACUAUAAGAUACUUUUGUCUUUUCUUUAAGAUCCAAAGUCACAUUCCAAUUGAGAAGUAUUUUUUGUGUCUAUGAGAAUACUUGGGGAGUUUGAAUGCGGUAAUAUGGUAAAACUUCAGAUCCAUCAAAACUAAAUCCGGAUUCGAAUAUCUUAAUUUUUCCAGAUUACCGGAUCCAUAUUUCAAAUAUAUUAAAUUUAAUUUUUAUUAAUAAUUAUAUUGAUAUAUUAGUAUUUAUGCAUAAAAUUAUUUUUUUGAUAUAAUAAUUUUUUAAUAUUAUAUUUUAUAUAUACAUAUAAUAUUUAAAUUAAGUAUUAUUUUUAGAAUUAUAGUAUUAAAAUAUUUUUACAAAUCUGGAUCCAGAUAUUAUAGUACGAUAUCUAAAUGGAUAUCCGGAUCCGGAUACCCAAAAUUGGUUGGAUAUCCAGAUCUGUCUCAUCCCUAGUUGUAGCCUUGUAGGCAUGGGCUUUUUAACCUGGACCUGAAGACCCGAACCGAAACCGACCCAAAAAUACCCGACCCGGAACCGGACCAAAAAUUACAAGUACCUUUUGGGUCUAAAUUUUUUUUACCCGAAAGAACCGGAACCAAAAGGAACCGACCCGAAUAGACCCGGACCCAAAAAUAACCGACCCGAAUAGACCCGACCCGAUAAAAACCGAUUUGUACCCGACUUAGAAACAUGUAUAUCUAAAACUAUGAUGUUUUUGUGUUCUAUUUUAUAUAUAUUAUUUUAUGAUUAGUUGAAAUAUCUUUUGUUAACAAUAUUUGUUAUUAUUUUUUAACAUUUUUAAGUAAUAUAAAGCUUUAAAAUGUAAAAUUUAGAGUUUAAAAAUGUUUUAUUUUCAUUAUUAAUAGUUUCAUUGAAGUUAUUUUUUAAAAUUUUAGAUAUAUAUGACAAAUAUCAACUAAAUUUGACGGAAUUGGAUAUAUAUAUAUAUAUAUUCACAAUUUAGUUAGGAUAUUUAUUUUGUGUUAGGUUUAUAGAUAUGUUAAUUUUUUAAUUAACUUUUAAUUAAAAACAGUUUUUUUUUGUUUUCCAACAAUUUUGUUUAUAAUUAUUUAACAUUUUAAUAUAUAAAUAUAUAAUAUAUAUAUACAAAAUAAAGUCUAUUUUUUGUUUUCUAUUUUGAUAUCCACAUGUAUAUAUUUAUAUAGUUACUUUUUUAACGUGUUAUUGUGGACAUCAUAUUGUGGAUAGAAGAGUUAUAUACAUAAUAUGGAUAUUAACAUAGUGUGGAUGUGGAUGGUUAUUAAGAUUCUUUGAAUAUGUUUUGUGUUAAUUUGUUAAAUAACACUAUACAGUAGUAUAUUAUAUGGACAAACAGAUAAUUAAAACAAAUAAACACUAAAUAUAUAUCCAAUUACAUAUAUAAUUAUAAAAAGAACAAAGAUAAGAUGUAUAAGAAAAAUUGUGGAUGAAUGAGUUGUGGAUGAAUGAGAUAUGGAUGGACGAGUUUACACAUACUUCUCACAGAUCGGUAAGAGAUUCAUCAAAGAUAAAGACAUGUUUUUACCUUUGUUAUCUCUUUGCUUUGAGUCCUUGAGAUUCGAAAUUGUUGAGAUCAACAUGUUCACGAGGAGCCUUUCCAUCUGCUGUGCUCUAGUACUUACUUGACAUGUCAAACACCUUUUGUUAAAACUCCCGACGUAGAUACUCGGAUCAAUCUGUCCAAAAGGACAUGGCCACCAUUUAAACAUCAACGAUGUUUAGAUUCCCUCUUAUUUAAUAAUCACAAGUAUUACAUAUACCUUCUGUUCCACUUUUACUUUCGUCCCUUCUCCAAUUAUCUCCUGAAGGGACUCAGUUCCUUCUCCUCGGCAGGGGAAUCGACUAAUCGUUUCAAAACAUUUCUUAAAUAAAUAUAAAAGAAAAUUACUAGAAUGUUAUAGAAAAGUUGGUUUAUUACUAGAGUGUUAUGCAUCUUUUUAAAAUUAGUACAAUGUUUAGAUAUCCCUAGUAAUUAUUUUUGGUUAGUUUAUGUUUAGACAAUAAAGAUAUUUGGUUAGUUUUCUUUUUAACUAAAAUUAUUUUUAAACACUAAAUCCACGUCAGUAAUAACAAUCCACAUCAACGAAUCUAUCGUUUGAUUAUCUUAUAACUUCUUAACCUAACACACAAAUCUCAUUUGACCAAAAAAAAACACACGCAAAUCUCUCUCUCUCUGUGACGCCUCUUCUCGUCCAAUCCAUCACGUUUGACCUCCUCACCACCACCACCAUCUCUCCUUCCGCUCGUCACCACCACCACCACCGCUCAUUCACUCGUCACCACCACCAUCGCCAUCUUUCCCAUCCGUCAUCGUUCGUCACCACCACCAUCGCUUCUCAGAUUCGUCACCACCACCAUCUGCCAUCUCUCUCUCUCUCUCUCAACGAUCUGAUUCUCUUCUUCUUUUCCACUCUUGUAGUGCUCUCUCCUUCUCUCUUUCUCUCCUUUGAAUCUGAUUUUGAUUUGUUUUUUUGGUAAAGGAAGUUGGAGGAAGCAAAAGAGGCCUGACGAGACGAGGUGACUGGAGGUCGCUCUUUUCUUCCAUCACCGAAGUGCCACAGACCAAGUGGGAUUUGUAGUUGUUAAAGUCUGCUACUUUGGAUUGUUCUUUGCUCAAGGUUGAGGCGGAGAGAACAGAUCCGGAGGCGAAGAGGAGGUCGGAGAGAAGACAGAGCCAGAGGCUGGAGAAGACAGAACAUGUGGCGGCUGGAGUCUUUUUUUUUCUUUUACGUUUAGUUUUUUUUUUUAAUUUGGUUUAGUGUAAACCGAGAUAGGGAAAUUGUAGUGGUUUGAUUUUACUUUUAAUUUCUGCUUUAGUUUUUUUUUUUUAAUUUGGUUUAGCGUAAACUGAGAUAGGGAAAUUGUAGUGGAUUGAUUUUACUUUGUUUACAGAUUUAUUAAGGAGCAGGGAAGAAGAAGCAGUGGGGUGACAUAGCCAGCGUCUCCGGUCGAGCAUGGUGGUGCAAGCAGGUGGUGGUCGUGCGUUGGAGAUGCGAGCAGCAUGGUCGCGGUGUGGUGAGUGCGGCGGCGACUGAAGAAGUAAAUUAGGUUUAGUUAGGGUUAAUUAGGUUUAGCUUGAUCUUGAAAUAUAUGUUCUCUUACAAUCACUUAUACAAUUCUUACUUACAAGACUCUAACUUCACAAGUUGAUAAGAAUUGUAUAGUUUCUUGAAAUUGACGGCUGAGUUAUGUAAAGUAUGCAUAAUUCAACCGUAACGUUUCUAUAAGUCAACCCUAUAAGUCAGCCGUCAACGGUAAUUUUUUCGC